rnacentral:rRNA from 1 species
GACGAACGCUGGCGGCGCGCUUAACACAUGCAAGUCGAACGGAAAGGCCUGCUUUCCCUUGUGGAUUGCGGGUACUCGAGUGGCGAACGGGUGAGUAACACGUGAGUGAUCUGCCCCCAACUUGGGUAUAAGCCUGGGAAACUGGGUCUAAUUCCCGAUAGGACUGCAGGUUGGUGCCUGUGGUGGAAAACGAUGUUCUAGUGGUUGGGUAUGGGCGCGCGGCCUAUCCGCUUGUUGGUGGGGUAAUGGCCUACCAAGGCGGCGACGGGUAGCCGGCCUGAGGGGGGGGACGGCCGCAGUUGGACUGAGAUACGGCCCAGACGCCUAAGGGAGGCAGGAGUGGGGAAUAUGGCACAAUGGGCGGAAGCCUGAUGCAGCGACGCCGCGUGGGGGAUGACGGCCUUCGGGUUGUAAACUCCUUUCGACCGAGAGGAAGCCACCUGGUUGGAAGGGUGGUGACGGUAGUGGUAGAAGAAGCACCGGCUAACUACGUG